UACAGAGGUCUCGAGCGUUGCUCGGAUUUAUUGGGCGUAAAGGGUGCGUAGGCGGUGUGGCAAGUCAAGUGUGAAAUCUCGGAGCUCAACUUCGAAACUGCACUUGAUACUACUAUGCUAGAGGGUUGUAGAGGAGACCGGAAUUCACGGUGUAGCAGUGAAAUGCGUAGAUAUCGUGAGGAAGACCAGUUGCGAAAGCGGGUCUCUGGGCAAUUCCUGACGCUGAGGCACGAAGGCUAGGGGAGCAAACGGG
rnacentral:rRNA from 1 species